CAUAGAUCAUUAGAUUUCACCCUUACCUAUGGAAUACCGUCGCCGUCUCCCGUCCCCAAGUAAGGCGGUAUUCCUACCAGGCCAACCGUUGAGCGGCUGGAUUUAAGCAGGAACCUACCAAACAGGCUACGAACGCUUUAAGCUCAAUAAUCAUGGACACCACUCGGAGAGCUGGUAUUACCGC
rnacentral:rRNA from 1 species